UACGGGGGGGGCGAGCGUUGUUCGGAAUCACUGGGCGUAAAGGGCGCGUAGGCGGCCCGCACAAGUCUGCGGUGAAAACCCCCGGCUUAACCGGGGGCCGGCCGUGGAAACUGUCGGGCUGGAGGCUGGGAGAGGGCAGCGGAAUUCCCGGUGUAGCGGUGAAAUGCGUAGAGAUCAUGAGGAAGACCAGUGGCGAAGGCGGGUCGUCUGGAGCAGUUCCUGACACUGAGGCACGAAGGCCAGGGGAGCAAACGGG
rnacentral:rRNA from 1 species